CAGCCGCCGCGGUAAUACGUAGGGUGCGAGCGUUAAUCGGAUUUACUGGGCGUAAAGCGUGCGCAGGCGGCCCGUUAAGACAGGUGUGAAAUCCCUGGGCUCAACCUAGGAAUUGCGCUUGUGACUGGCGGGCUCGAGUACGGUAGAGGGGGGUGGAAUUCCUGGGGUAGCAGUGAAAUGCGUAGAGAUCAGGAGGAACACCGAUGGCGAGGGCAGCCCCCUGGGCCUGUACUGACGCUCAUGCACGAAAGCGUGGGCAGCAAACAGGAUUAGAUACCCUGGUAGUCCACGCCCUAAACGAUGGGUACUAGCCGUUUGGUGCGCGAUAGCGCUGAGUGGCGAAGCUAACGCGAGAAGUACCCCGCCUGGGGAGUACGGCCGCAAGGUUGAAACUUAAAGGAAUUGGCGGG
rnacentral:rRNA from 1 species